CCGCCUACGGGAGGCAGCAGUAGGGAAUCUUCCACAAUGGGCGAAAGCCUGAUGGAGCAACGCCGCGUGGGUGAAGAAGGUCUUCGGAUCGUAAAACCCUGUUGUUAGAGAAGAAAGUGCGUGAGAGUAACUGUUCACGUUUCGACGGUAUCUAACCAGAAAGCCACGGCUAACUACGUGCCAGCAGCCGCGGUAAUACGUAGGUGGCAAGCGUUAUCCGGAUUUAUUGGGCGUAAAGGGUGCGUAGACGGGAAGGCAAGUUAGUUGUGAAAUCCCUCGGCUUAACUGAGGAACUGCAACUAAAA
rnacentral:rRNA from 1 species